GCCGGAGCGGCCGCUGGCGUCGGAACCAUGGCGACGGGUGGCGGUGGUGGUGGGGUGGCAAUGGCGGCUUGGCCCACUUUGUCCGCUGCGGCUUUGACGGCGCUCCUCCUGUUGGCCCUCCCUCGAGUCUUACAAGCCCAGACCUUCUCUUUACCUUUCCGGCAGCCAGAAUCGUGCAGCCAUAACCAGUACUUCGAUAUCUCCGCCCUCUCCUGCGUUCCGUGUGGAGCCAACCAGAGGCAGGACGCCGGAGGAACUUCAUGUGUGUGUUUACCAGGAUUUCAGAUGAUCUCUAAUAAUGGAGGAUCUGUCGUUAUUUGUAAAAAGUGCCCAGAAAACAUGAAAGGUGUUACCGAAGAUGGCUGGAAUUGCAUUUCUUGCCCUGGUGGUUUAACUGCAGAAGGAAAAUGCAGCUGUCCCACUGGCCAUAUUUUAGUGGAAAGAGAUGUUAAUGGAACGUUGUUGUCUCAAGCAACUUGUAAGCUCUGUGAUGGGAAUGAAAAUUCUUUUACAAUAGCAAAUGCUUUAGGAAACAGGUGUGUUCGAUGUGAGCCAACAUUUGUCAAUACCAGCAGGUCCUGUGCAUGUUCAGAACCUAACAUUUUAACAGGGGGAUUAUGUUUCAGCAGCACAGGAAAUUUUCCUCCACGUGUGAUUUCAACCGCACGUUAUGGAGAGCUUGGCAUGUCUUUAACUUCAGAAUGGUUUUCAAAGUAUUUGCAAUCAUCAGCAGCUGCUUGUUGGGUAUAUGCCAAUCUAACAUCUUGCCAAGCUCUGGGGAAUAUGUGUGUGAUGAACAUGAAUUCAUAUGACCUUGCAACUUUUGAUGCAUGUCGACUGUUUCAGUUUAUCUUUGAAAACACUGCUGGAUUAAGGACUGUUCAUUCUGUUUCGUUUUGGAGACAGAAUCUUCCAUGGCUGUUCUAUGGAGACCAGCUAGGAUUAGCACCUCAAGUACUCAGUACUACACCACUUCCUACAAAUUUCAGUUUUAAAGGGCAAAACCAGAAUACAAAACUGAAAUUUGUUGCUGCUUCUUAUGAUAUAAGAGGACAUUUUCUCAAGUGGCAAACUUUAGAAGGAGGUAUUUUACAGCUUUGUCCAGACACAGAGACAAGACUAAAUGCUGCAUAUUCUUUUGGAACAACCUAUCAACAAAACUGUGAAAUUCCUGUCUCUAAGAUCUUAACUGACUUUCCCACUCCUGUAUUUUAUGAUGUGUUCCUUGAGUAUACUGAUGAAAAUCAACACGAAUAUAUUUGGGCUGUGCCGGUAUUAAACCUAAAUCUUCAACACAAUAAAUUAUUUGUGAACCAAGAUAGUAGUUCUGCCAAGUGGCUCCUGACUCGGCGCAUUUUCCUAGUGGAUGCAGUAAGUGGACGAGAAAAUGACUUACGAGGUCAGCCAAGAGUAAUUCGAAUUGCUACCCAGAUAUCACUGAGUAGCAUCCACCUGGUACCCAACACAAAAAAUGGAAACAUCUACCCUCCCUUAAUUACCAUUGCCUACAGCGACAUUGAUAUCAACGAUCCCAACCUCCAGUCCAUGAAAGUUUCUUUCUCAGUCAACUAUGAAAUGAAUCAAGGAGAAGCACAUGUCCAGACAGAUAUUGCUUUGGGUGUGCUGGGUGGGCUAGCUGUUUUAUUGUCUCUUUUGAAGACAGCAGGAUGGAAGAGGCGCAUUGGAAGUCCCAUGAUUGAUUUACAGACAGUUAUGAAAUUCUUAGUGUACUAUGCUGGCGAUCUGGCCAAUGUUUUCUUUAUCAUCACAGCAGGAAUGGGUCUUUAUUGGCUUAUUUUCUUCAAAGCGCAGAAGUCUGUCUCUGUUUUGCUACCAACGCCAGCUCAGGAAGAACGUUUUAUUACUUACGUGGGAUGUGCUUUUGCUCUGAAGGCUCUACAAUUUCUGCAGAAGCUCAUAUCCCAGGUUACCAUAGACAUAUUCUUUAUUGACUGGGAGCGACCUAAAGGAAAGGUUCUUAAAGCUGUUGAAGGUGAGGGUGGUGUAAGGAGUGCUACUGUUCCCGUAAGCAUAUGGAGAACGUAUUUUGUAGCGAAUGAAUGGAAUGAAAUUCAGACUGUGAGAAAAAUUAAUCCACUCUUUCAAGUACUUACUGUCAUCUUCUUUUUGGAGGUUGUGGGAUUCAAGAACUUAGCGUUAAUGGACCCAUCCUCUAGUCUUUCCAGAAGCCCGUCCAGCUACAUAGCUCCUUAUAGCCGCAUUUUGAGAUAUGCAGUGUCCUCUGCUCUUUGGCUAGUCAUUGGCAUUAUACAGAUCAUGUUCUUUGCUGUUUUUUAUGAGAGAUUUAUAGAAGAUAAAAUUCGACAGUUCGUUGAUUUAUGCUGUAUGAGCAAUAUAUCAGUGUUUCUUCUGUCCCACAGAUGUUUUGGGUAUUAUGUCCACGGUAGAUCAGUACAUGGGCAUGCAGACACUAACAUGGAAGAGAUGAAUAUGAAUCUGAAAAGAGAAGCGGAAAAUUUGUGUAGCCAGAGAGGCUUGGUACCCAACACAGAUGGUCAGACUUUUCAGAUUGCAGUUUCUAGCCAGAUGAGACAACACUAUGACAGAAUUCACGAGACACUAACAAGGAAAAAUGGCCCUGCUAGACUGUUGAGUUCAUCAGCAAGUACUUUUGAACAGAGUAUAAAAGCAUAUCAUACUAUGAAUAAAUUUCUUGGCUCCUUCAUCGAUCAUGUUCAUAAGGAAAUGGACUACUUUAUAAAAGACAAGUUGCUUCUUGAAAGAAUCCUUGGAAUGGAAUUCAUGGAACCGAUGGACAAGAGCAUCUUCUACAAUGAUGAAGGUUAUUCUUUCAGCAGUGUUCUGUAUUAUGGAAACGAAGCCACCCUGCUUAUCUUUGAUCUACUCUUUUUCUGUGUUGUGGAUUUGGCUUGCCGAAAUUUUAUUUUAGCAGCCUUCCUCACAUACUUACAACAAGAGAUUUUUAGAUUUAUUCGUAAUACAGUAGGACAGAGGAAUUUGGCAUCCAAAACAUUAGUGGAUCAAAGAUUUCUGAUUUAAUUUAUGGAAUGGAUAACUUCAAGACAAUAUAAUCAUGGCAAACAACAAAAUGUGAUUAUCAGGUCUUCUCUGCAUUUUCACAAAAGGACCUGUCUGCUGUCAAAACGCAUUAGACACAAUCACCUGAAAAGCUCACCAGACUCCACGUGGUGAAGAAAGCUUAAGAACAGGGCCCUGGAGUCAAAGCGGCUGUAUUAUAUCUGGCUCCCCAAGCCUGGUAACCUUGGGCAACUUACUGUACUGCCCUGUGUCUCUCUGGUUUCCUCACCUGUUGACUGGGGCUGAUAAUAAGAUAGUUGUGAGGUUUAAAUGACUUAAUAUAUGUAGAAUACUUAGAAGAGGUACCUUUGAUACAAAGUGAGAAAGUACAUGUAGUCUCCAACUUACGAUGUAUUCGAGUUACAAUGAACUUAAAACCAUCAGGUUUUUUUUGGUAUGUCUUAUAUAGUUUUUUUUUUCUUAUAUAUAGUUAGUAAUCUUGAUAAGGUGGUUGUUAGGUGCCAUCGAGUCGAUUCCGACCCACAGCAACCUUAUAGGACAGAGUAGAACUGCCUCAUGGUGUUUCCAAGGAGCGGCUGGUAGGUUUGCCCUUUCGACCUUUUAGUUAUCAGCUGAGCUCCUAACCACUAUGCCACCAGGGCUCCUGGUAAAGUAGAGGGUCAGUGAAAAAGAGGAAGAUCCUCAAGGAGAUGGACUGACACAGUGGCUGCAAUAAUGGGCUCAAGCAUAACAACGACUGGGAGGACCAGGCAGUGUUUUGUUCUGUUGUACAUAGGGUUUCUAUGUGUCAGAACCGACUUGACGGCACCUAACAACAACAGUAAUAUGUACUACAGACAGUGUUGCAACGGGUAACUUGCUGAUGUUAUUCUCAGAUGUCACUCGCAGAUGUUCAACGUUAUUAUUAUUUACUGUUCAAAACACUGCUGUAUAACAGGCUGGCGUCAGAAGUCAUAAAGGAUAGGUAGUUGGACAGUGUUCAACUCUAAAACCCACUGCUGUAGUCGAUUCCGACUCAUAGCGACUCUAUAGGACAGGGUAGAACUGCCCCACAGAGUUUCCAAGGAACACCUGGUGGUUUCGAACUGCCAACCUUUUGGUAGCAGCUGUAGUACUUAACCACUACGUCACCAGGGUUUCCAUAAUGUUCAUCUCUAAGGACAUGUAGUUAAACUGUCCCAGUGCCCGACAGCUGUUACUUAAUAAUACCCCAGGACAUUCUCCUGACGUACGUGAUCUAAAUCGAGAUGUGAAGUGGUGUAUCUGCCUCCCAAUGCCAGAGCUGGGAUUCAGCCUGUGGUCAAGGUACAAUUGCCACCUUCAGUGCAUGCUACCUUCGGACUACGUUUGCCCAGCCAACAUACAGAUGGAGAUGUACGGUAACCUUACACAGUUCUGGAAGAAUUAUGAUAUUCUCAGUGUAUCUAGAACAUUGCCUCUUCCUGGGAGAAAGUUACAGGAAGAGGCAUGCAGGGGAUAUGGAAGAAAUUGCUGAGUUAUGUGAACACGCUCCAAGCUUUUGAUCAGGAUAGUAUGAUGGAAGAGAUGGGUGGAAAAGUCCAUAUGGUAAGAACGCUGAAUUUAGAACUUACUAUCACCAGCCAAUGGGAAACAGCUCAUAGAUCACGAAGACGGGAAAUUGACAGAUCAGGAUUUAAUGGAUUUUGAAGAGGAAAGAAUUGCUGAAGAAGAAAGAAAUAAUGAGAGAGGAUUAGCUGAUAAUUUUUCUAAACUAAAUCAGGGGCUUCGGUUGCUUAAAAUCGUGGACUAAAACACUGAUUGCUUUGCUGAAGUUGAUAGGCAGAUUUGGGAAGCGGUGAGAUGUUACCUCGAAAUAUAUGAAGGAAAAAAAAGGUUGAUACAGACCAAAAACCAAGCCAAACCUACUGCCAUCAAACUGAUUCCAACUCAUAGCCGCCCUAUAGGACGGAGUAGAACUGUCCUGUAGAGUUUCCAAGGACCGCCUGGCAGAUUCGAACUGCCGACCUUUUGGUUAGCAGCCGUAGCACUUAACCACUCCUCCACAAGGGUUUCCAAACCUGUUGCCAUUGAGUCGAUUCUGACUCAUAGCAACCCUAUAAGUCAAAGUAGAACUGUUCCAUAGGGCUUUCAAGGAGAGGCUGGUGGAUUCGAACUGCCGUCCUCUUGGUUGACAGCCAAGCUCUUAACCACUGCGCCACCAGGGCUCCACUGUGAUCAUACAGACAGCUCUCACUAAUUUUCUGACUAGAAGCACCAUCCCCAUUCCCAGGGAUAAUCCAGAUAAUCCAGAACCUUCCACAAGUGGAGUUAUUACCCCAACUGACAAAAUGCCAACAUCAUCCAACUCCUCUUCAUCGCCAGGGUAAAUUUUUUAUGAUUUGUGUAUUUUUUUAUGUAUAUAUUAAAAUAUAUUUGUAAGUUUAUAUGUAAUAUUUCCAACCCCCAAGACAAAUAAAGAUCUGAUCUAUCAAGAUACUGAUAAUAAAAGGCAAUAAUAUGAAAACUUAAAAAAAAAAAUGAGGUAUUCGAGUUAACGCCAAAAUUGACUUGUGACAGAGUCAUCGGAACAGAGCCCUGUUGUAAAUCAGAAACUAUCUGGUAAAAAAAAAAAAAAAAAUUUUUUUUUUUUUUCUGGUACAGGGCAUAAAAAUGGAAUAUGCUUCUUAAUCUCACUCUUCUGUCCCUCAGAAGUAUCUACUUUUAAUGGUCUGGGAUAUGUUUUAUCAGAUAUUUUUCUGUGUGUGGGUCAUAGCAUGUGCAAGAAUGACCUUUCUGAACAAAGGAAUUUUAUACAAAGCUAAGAAUGCCAAGAAACAGAACGACAGAGACAGAUUUUAAAAGGAGCAUCAUGGCCAUAGAUUAAAGGAAUCUCUUCAAAUAAAUAUACAUUUCAUGGAGCAGUCAUUUACUGAGUUCUUGCUGCAUACAAGGACUACUAAGACCCUCAAGGCAGGGGUGACAGAAUAUAGUAUGAAAGUACUUGGAAUCUGCCCACAGGAAAUUUAAUGUAUAAUGAAAAAAUGAAUGCUGACCAUGCAGCCUUAACCUUAAAAGAGUGGGCAGUCCAAGUAGCUCAUUAAAGCCCCCUGAGCCAGGGGAGUGCACCAGGGGCAGAGUGAGGGUAACGAGCGCCAGGGCAAUCUUUAAAUUGCACCUUCCCCACCAAUUUCAAGAUGAAUAGACGUUGAUAGCUGCGAGUCAGCAGAAGCACCUUCCCCUCUCUUGUCCGGCUGCCUCUGAGUCAGGCGCCUUUCAUAUUUGUGGUGCCUCAGAAUGUCAUUUUGCACCUUGUCUGGCACCCUCUUAGACUUAUGCCCGGGGGCAAGUGUCCCUCUCGGUUCCCUCCCCUCCCCCCACUGUGCCUCUGGAGUGCCCUGGACAAAAACUCUUGCCUUAGAGAGCUGUGAUCAGUACUCUGUUAGCUUUCUUUUCAUUUUUUUUAGUAAGUCCUUGGGAGUGAAACUGUUCUUCUCUCAGCUAAAGGACAUCGGGAGUAAUUUAUUUUACUUUACUUUUUACAGUUCAGACUAUUCUCGAAGCCAGCAAAAACAAAAAAACAAACUUACUGCCAUCAAGUCUAUUCUGACUCAUGUCAACCAGUGUGUUACUGAGUGGAGCUGGGCUUCAUAGGGUUUUCUUGGCCGUCAUCUGUGCAGAAGCAGAUCACCAGGCCUUUCUUCAGCAGAGCUUCUGGGUGAAUUUGAACCAGAAACCUUUAGGUUAGUAGUCUGAGCGCUCAACUGUUUGCUCCACCUUAAAAAUGAAAAAGCAUGUAUUAAUGUUACGCUAAUUCUCAAGUACUUGAGGGCAUAUUUAUUUAAUUGUAGACAUGUUGGAUACUUUGAAGAAUAGUAAAGCCAAGUGGUUUUUUAAUGAAAUGAAGUUAGUAUCCUUAAACUACACUAUUUUAAUACUUAAAAUACAAAAGAACAUCCAUUAUGACACACAAAGAAGACAUUUCCAUAACUCCAAAUUAAAUUGUUUCUCCCAGUCUUGAUAGUGAGAGGGGGAAAGUGCAUAGAAAACUAAGGCAUGAUAACUGGGUUCUAGAGGUUUACACAGUAAUAUAUCAAGUGCCAUGUUGCCAUCGAGUCAGUUCUGACUCACAGUGACCCUAUAGGACAGUGUAGAACUGCCCCAUAGGGUUUCUAAGGAGCAGCUGGUGGAUUAGAACUGCCAACCUUUUGGUUAGCAGCCAAGCUCUUAACCACUACACCACCAGGGCGCCCAUCAAAUGCCAAAAGGAAUACUAAAAGCAGAAGUUCUUAGGAGUUCAGCAAAGAAGGCAGUUAGAAGAGAAUGAAGCUGCUGGGGAGGAAAGUAGCCUUGGUGCAGGAUGAAUCUGAGUUAAAACAGCGUGAGGUUUGGGAAAUACUUAGAUACUUGGAUGAACAGAAUGAAGACAUCUCCAGGGUAAAGGGUGUAAAAAAAAUAAUUAAAGCUCACCAGAAUUUGAACAUAAGGUUUAUUCUCAGCAGUUACUCUAUAUGCAUAUAGGGAGACCAUUUUGAUUCCAGAAAAAGCAAAUGGCUCUUUUGGUACAAUGAACUUAUAAAGAGGAGGGGAAAAUAUAGAAGAUCAACAAUUGGCUAAUUGAUGAAUGUUGAAUAUGAAUGAUUGAUUGAACCCUGCCUUCCCCUUUUACUGAAAUCAAGUGGUAUCAGUUUACUUCUGGCCUGGCUGCUAAUAAUUUGGCCCUCCAUCCACCUGCACAAGAGCCCCGGUGGUACAGUGGUUAAAGCCUUUGGCUGCAAGCCAACAGAUUGGUGGUUUGAAUCCACCAGCUGCACCUUGGGAGAAAGAGCAAUUGGCUUCUGUAAAGAUUACAGCCUGAGAAACCCUAUGGGGCAGUUUUACUCUGCUACAGGGUCCCUAUGAGUUGGAACUGACUCGAUGGCAACGAGUUUGGUUUUUUUUGUUGUUGUUGUUGUUUUGGUUGGCUGCCCUGUCUAGCAGGAUAGAACAAAUUUACAUUGUUAUAGAGCAGUUUCUGGCAGGCUUUUGCAGUUUGGGUCAGACUUUUUAUGGUUAAUAUUUGGUUUUGCAGUAAGAAGAACCUUAAAAUCAGACUAAGAUGUCUGUUACUAAUUUUCUUCUUGAGCAAGGGCAUGGAGGUCCAUGCUGAAAGUAUGGCACAUUCACCGGAACUGAGGAGUCAGCCAGGCUGAAGCGAUUUACCUCAAGGAGCAGCAGAGCUUGUCUGAAUGGGCCAGGUUGUCUCAUAAACUGGUCUGAGGGUCUUCAGCAUAGUAACCAUCUUCCACUGGAGUCAGAGAUCUUGGGGUGAUUAUCUGGCCCUGCUUCUUGACAGCCAGCGCUUAUCCUCACUGAACGUCAGUUUCCUGAGGCUGCAGGAAGUGGAAGAAACAAUAUAUAGCUAAAGGAUUUUAUGAACUGUAAGGUUUAUCACAAAUCUUUAUUAAAAUGCUACAGUUCUAUUUGAGAAUUAUCACUAUUCCAGGCACAGUCAUUCUAUCUCUCUUAUUUCCUCAAUGUUCAAGGAAGUAGCAAAGUGAGUAGUGAAAAAAGCACUGGUCUGAGAAGCAGUGGACUAAGGUUUAAUUCACUAAUGAGCCAUCUAAGCAAGUUAUCUGGUCUUUUCCGGGAGUGUUACUUCAUCUGUAAAAUGGAGAUAAUACCAAAAAAAAAGGAAGAGUAGAACUACACUACAGGGUUUCUGUUUCUUAAGGAAAGCAGACUGCCACAUCUUCCUCCCACAGAGCGGCCGGUGGGUUCUAACUGCCAACCUUUGGAUUGGCAGCCGAGUGUGUAACCACUGUGCUACCAGAUAAUAGGGAUAAUAAAACCUAUCUCAUAGAGUUGUGAAGAUUAGAUGAGUUACUAAAUGCAGUCACCCAGAACAGUAUCUUCUAUUAUGUUAAAUGAGGGAAUUUGCCUUUAACUAUAACUUUUUUUUUAUAACUUUAAACUGCAGUAUUUUGGAGCCCUGGUGGCGUAGUAAAGAGCUCAGCUGCUAACCAAAAGGUCGGCAGUUUAAAUUUACCAACUGCUCCUUGGAAACCCUAUGGCAGUUCUACUGUGUCCUGUAGGGUCACUAUGAGUCCGAAUCCACUCAAUGGCAGUGAA